rnacentral:rRNA from 1 species
ACCUACGGGGCGCAGCAGUGAGGAAUAUUGGUCAAUGGGCGGGAGACUGAACCAGCCAAGCCGCGUGAGGGAUGAAGGUACAGAGUAUUGUAAACCUCUUUUGUCAGGGAACAAAGGCGGGGACGUGUACCCGGAUGAGUGUACCUGGAGAAAAAGCAUCGGCUAACUCCGUGCCAGCAGCCGCGGUAAUACGGAGGAUGCGAGCGUUAUCCGGGUUUAUUGGGUUUAAAGGGUGCGCAGGCGGUCUGUUAAGUCAGCGGUCAAAGUCCGGGGCUCAACCCCGGCGCGCCGUUGAAACUGGCAUG